UGGGUUUCUGGCUAAGGGUCCUAGAGAUGU
rnacentral:piRNA from 1 species